rnacentral:rRNA from 1 species
AACCCGCCUGCGUGAAGUUGGAAUCGCUAGUAAUCGCGGAUCAGCAUGCCGCGGUGAAUACGUUCCCGGGCCUUGUACACACCGCCCGUCACACCAUGAGAGUCGGGAACACCCGAAGUCCGUAGCCUAACCGCAAGGGGGGGCGCGGCCGAAGGUGGGUUCGAUAAUUGGGGUGAAGUCGUAACAAGGUAAC